rnacentral:rRNA from 1 species
GACGUAGGGCGCGAGCGUUGUCCGGAUUUAUUGGGCGUAAAGAGCUCGUAGGCGGUCAGUCGCGUCUGCUGUGAAAACUCGGGGCUUAACUCCGGGCCUGCAGUGGGUACGGGCUGACUAGAGUGCGGUAGGGGAGACUGGAAUUCCUGGUGUAGCGGUGAAAUGCGCAGAUAUCAGGAGGAACACCGGUGGCGAAGGCGGGUCUCUGGGCCGUAGCUGACGCUGAGGAGCGAAAGCGUGGGGAGCGAACAGG